UCCCCGCCCCCUCCCCCACCCCCUCCAGCCUUAACCAGAUGUAGCUGAAUGGGAGCCUUCUUUGCAAAUGUGGGUUACAGGCGUCUCCUAGCGGCCGCAGGAGCUCAAUGCAAGCAGGCUCGAUGGAACCCUAGCUCUGAAAGGUAAGACGCUUCUUUCUGGACUCUGCUUCUUUCUCCGGAUUUUUCAAGACCUCUGAAGAGGAUCAUACAGCGAUUUGCAAAAGAAAAUUGACAAUACGAACCGAGUCUCCACGGAUGUCCCUCCGCCGGAGCUGAACCAAUGCACGGAUACUUAUGUCAUCAGGGGAAAAAAAAGAAGGCUAACACAGAUCAGAAGAAAAAUGGUGUGGAAAAACAAAAACAAUGAUUGGACAUGGAAAGCUGAUUAUGGUUUUGUGGUAGUAGAGUGUGAGUAUGAUUCUUUAUGUUACACUUAAGAGAAAGUUAACAUUGCUUGGGGAAAAAUCUUUUAUUAAUGCUUUCUUCUCAACACCUUCAUUUCUGAAUAAUGCCUUGCACCUUAAUAAUCAUAGGAUUCUUUUCUUCUUUGUAGCAAAAAAGAAAAGAAGAAAGCAGCAAUGUAUGAUUUUAAAUAAAAACAAGCAAUAUAAUGACCCUGCUGUUAGUGUAUGAAAUACUCAACCCCUGGGAUUCACCAGCUUCUAGCUAAAGAGUGAGAAUUUCUCAUCUCUUUAGUGGUUUAAUAUUCCUUUUUAAAGGUUACAGAGGAAAGAACCUUUCCUAAAUUCCUUAAGACAGUUCUUUUCCCCCCAAGUUUUGCUUUGUUGUUGUUGUUGUUGUAGUAGUAACCAUCCAUAUAUACCAAUAAUAUUUUUUUAAGCCUGGAGCCCUGUCCUAGUUACCUCAGUACUUCAAUGGUUAUGGAAUCUCUUCAAUGGAUAUGUAACCCCAAAAGUUGUGUAGCUUAUAAUCUCUUAGAAUAUUUUACAUGCAAAAAAGCAUGAUAUCUAAUGAAAAACAAGACAUAUCUAUAAAAUUAAUACAUAAUACCCACUUAAUCAGAUUCUAAUUCACUUUCCAUUCUGCAAAGGUAAGAUUCUAUUGUGAUAGUAUAGCUUAUCAAAAUAUGCUCUGUUUUUUUUUCAGGUAAUAUUUCUUCUAAUUGGAUGACCAAUCUUUAUUAAUUUUUUCAACAGUAUACUAAAAUAUUUUAAUAUGAUUUUAGCAGCAAAUUUCUAACUAUUUAAAAUUAUGGAAAGGAAUGGCCAAGGUAGAGCUCAUUUGUUUUUUACUUUUAAAAGAUUUAGAGCUAUAUAAGAAACUUAAAGAUCAGCUAACUAAAUCCCUCAGAAUUUUACAGGUGACAAAGCCAGGCCCCAAAAUGGGAAGUGAAUUGUCCAGGGUUUCACAGAUUAUAUGUCAAUAAUCCAUGUUCUCUCCCUUCCCACUCCUCUCCUUCCCAGAAUACAGGUAGUAUUAUAUAAGUUGUACAUAUAUUAUCAUAUAUAUUUCCCUGUGUCAUGUUAUAAAACAAGAUACAUAUUGCUUACAAUAGACAAAAAUUUCUGGAGGAAAUAAAGUGAAGAAUGCUAUAUUUCAAUUUGCAUAACUCCAUCUGUUCCUUCUAUGGUGGUGAAUAUCCUUUUUCAUCAUUAUUGUUCUUACUGGGUACCACAUUCUCCUGGUUCUUCUCACUUCACUUUGCAUCAUUUUGUAUGAGUCUUUCUAGGAUUUUUUUGUGUUUUGUCACUUUUAUUGUAACAUAAUUUUGUUAGCUAUUAUUGAUGAAAGAUGUACUAGUCAAGUACUAAGAGUGAGAGAUAAUAGAUGAACUGCUUUUCUGUUCUUUCAGUAUCCUUGAGAUUUAAAUAGAACAUGGGAAGGAAACCCAGCAUCUGAAGGAGACUCCCUAUGGAAAUCUUAUAGCAAAAUGUUGAUAUCCAGAAGAGAGACAGGUUUAGAUGGGCUACAAACUGAUAUACUAAAGAGAGUGUUCCCAAUGAGAAUUCAGAUCCAUUGGCAUAUAUUUCAGGUGUUUAAGGAAUUGGUUAAAAAUUUAUUUUGCAAAUGUAAAGUCAUAAAUAUCACAUAGUAAAGAAAAGUAAUAUUAUAUAUAGAGAAAAAACAGUUCUUCAACUUGUAAUAAUUAUUAUACAUUUUAAACCAGAUAAUCUCUAAUAAAUCAUGAGGUAGAGAUUAAGUUGAUUCAUAUUACUUUUUCCACAGGAAAUACACAUUCUCAAGGAAUACAAAAUUAAGUCAGGAGUACAUUUCAACACUUUUCCAAUUUAUCUCUAAUACAAUGUCCCUCAAAUACAAAAUUGAUUCUACUAAUUUACCCAUAUUAGAUCAUGUGUUUCAGUUUUCUCUUUUGACAGAUUUUUACCUGGUCCCCCUUGUGGCUGAUGCUAUUAAAAAUCUACAAGCUAGAGGGAGCUGUGUAAUCUGUAGCUAUGCCAAAACCUUACUCUCCUCCCACCUUCCCCAUCAACAUUGAAGAGGUAGGUAGUAGACCUAGAAUUAGUAAAGCCUCAAUUUAGAUCUUGUCUCUGAAGCUUAAUAAUUAGUUAUAUGACCUUGGAGUAAUCCUUUCACUUCUUGGAACCUCUGUGUUCUCAUCUGUAAAAUGGGAAUAAUGUGAGGCUCAACUGAGAUCAAAGUAUAUAAGACACUUUACAAACUUAAAAGUAUCCUUUGUCUACUAGUAUUGUUAUGGCAAAAAUAUUCUCAGUCCCCCAAGCUAUUCUUCAGUCAUUCUUAACUUUUCCUUAAACCUCAUAACUAAUCAGGGCCCAAGCCCAGUGGAUUAUACUUUCCAAAUGUCUCUGCUGUCCUUUCUGUUUGUUUGGAUUUUUGUGCAUACUUUUCUCUGUUAAAGCCUCCUACAUCUUUUCCCUUCCUCUAGUCUCUCUCUUUUCCAAUUGAUCCUUCAUAUACUUGCCUAACCAAUUUUCCCACUGCAGUAAUUUUAUUAUAGUAUUUCCCUGCUCAAAAAUCUUUCCAUGACCAUUAACUUUACUUUCAAAGACAUCUAUAAUAUGCUUUUGGUACCUUAUUUUUAAUUAAUAUAUUAGGAACAUUUAUUAAACAUCAAUUAUGUACUAGGCUCUGGGCUAGGUGCUAGGGACACAAAGCUAAAAUAAUUUUUGCUUAAGAUAGUUAAUCAGUUAAAUUGAUUUGAAAAAAAAAACAACUAAGUAAUAUGUGUGAAAUCAAACGGCUGACUGUGAGCCUAUAAAUAUAUGGGAAUAUAAAUAAUUUUCCUCAUGUAUACUUUCACCAUUCCAUUCCUAGAAGGUAUUCCCACCUCUCUCUGACUCAUAGAAUUCCUAUCAUAAUUCCAAACAAAGCUCAUGUUUUACCUCCUACAGGAAGUCUUUCCUGAUCCCCCAAGUAGUUACUCUUUUUAUCUGGGUACAUGCUUUUUUUUUUUUUAAACCAUUCCUCUUGGUGCAAAGUAUUGACAAUUACAAUCAACAUUUAUAGGGUGCUUUUAAAGAUAGAAAAAUUAUUUUCAUGCAUAAUCUCAUUUUAAGGUGACAAAAGAUUAUUAUCAUCAUAAUUUUUAAUAUAGAUAUUUUUUAAAGUAUUCCUAUUUCACAUAGAAAAAAAUUGAGAUGCAGAGAGGUUAAAUUUCCAUGGUCACACAACCAGUUAGAAAGAAAGCUAGAAUUUGAACCCUCCUUUUUCCAACUCACCCCAUUAUUCUAUGUAUUAUGUCAUGAUUCUUUGUGGCAUAGAGGAAGAACUAGCUUUAUUGUGUCAUAAUCUUAGUUAAAAUAAAAUAAAAAACAUAGAAAUUAAGAAUAGCAAAAAUAUGUUACCAGUAGUGUAGAAUAGCAUAUCUCACGUCCUCAUAUCUCAUUUCCUCAGAGAAAUUUUAAUUUUGUUAAGCUAGAAUUUGUGAAAUUGAUCCAUAUACUUAUCUAGUAUGUUUUCUUAAUUUGUAUAUAUGUGUAUAUAUACUACAUACAUAUGCAUAUGUUACAUGCAUAUGCAUAUACAUAUGCAUAUGUUACAUGCAUAUGUAUAUACAUAUAUUUUAACAAGUUACCAACUGAAAUUAUAAAUAUGGUAUGAGUUAGCAGGUAGAAAGAAAUAAUUUAAGGACUUGAUUCUGUCAUCACCACUCAGUUCCCUUUCUGACCUGUUAAAUUUGUAUUUAAGAUUCAUAAAUAUGGAUCCCUUAAAAAGAGGGAUAUUGAAUGAAUGUAUGAAUGGAGGAGUGCAUUAAUGAUGAGAAGAGUUCUUUUUGAAGUGGAAUUAAGGAAUGAGAUUUGUUUUGUGUUUAUACUUGGUAAAUCCUUGUGAACUUUAGUUGAGGUAGGUUCUGAGUGAAGAAGCAUAGUAUGGUGACACUGUUAGGAAUGGCCUGGAUUCAUGCUAAUUUCUCUUUCAUAUCCUCAUUCUCUCUCAUUUUAAGCAUUAAUCUUCUUUAAAACAUUCCAUGACUCCUAAAUAGUACAAUAUAUGAAAUUUUCUGAUUUUAAACCAAAGAUGGCAUGUCAUUUUAAUUUCCCCGGAAAUUUACAAGUAACAUCACCAUUCUUUAAAGCCAUAAUAUCCAACUUGAAAGCACUACAUUUACGGGAAUUAUGCCUAAAGAUUAUAUAUAAUGAUGAGAAAGGCAUAUUCUUAUGCAUAUCAGCAGACAUUAUAGGAACCAAAAAUUCAUAAAAAGAAACAACACUGCAUACUUCCUAAUUGGAUUUUUCAGGAUUACCAGAGCCCUUGGGCGGCAUCGGAAGUGUGCUAGAAGGUUAAUGGAUAACAUAAAUCAGCAAAGCAUGGCAUAUACACAUACCUGAAGAAGGAAGAAAAGGUUAAGAAAAAGGUGGCUCUUUAUAGUAUAGCAUACAUUAGGUAAGCAAGCAGAAAUGAGCUAAUUUGUAAUGAAUUUUGCCUUCUAGAAUCCAGGUCUUUAUUUCUAUGUAGAAAUGUUCUCAUCUGAAGACAGACAGGCAUAUUAGCUUGAUAAUGGUUAUAUUGAUUCUGGCCAAACUUGAAAAUUCACCUGAAUCAAAAGAGGAAAUAGACAAAGAAUUCAAGAAACAGUUCACAAGCCUGACACAGAGGCAUGGUAGCAUAGUCUUAGGGGACUUCAAUUAUCUGGACAUCUGCUGAAGCUCUGUUUCUGCCAAAAAUAGAGUAACUAAUCAUUUCUUGGCUUGCCUUUAUGGUAAUUUUGCUCUUUGUAAAAUGGAGAAAGCCAAGGGAACUCCUCUCUAAGACCUGAUUCUCACCAAGAAGAAGGUACUGGUUGCUGAAAUAGAAAUGAUAAGAACCUUGGGGAGAACUGGCUGGUCCAUUCUAAAAUUUGAGAUUGAGAAAGAGAGAAACACUGUCACAUUCUGAAAUUCCUCUUCAAAUUUGAGAGAACAGAUUUCAAAAGAUUAGAAAAAGGGUAUCUAAGGAUCCACUGGGCAAGAAGUUAACAGGAAAAUUAGAUCAAAUUGUAUUGACCUGAGGUGUUUUACAGCUUUAUACUUCCCUGUCUCAAUAUAUGAGCAUUUCUUUAGUGAGGUUAGGACUUUACCUUCUUUUAUAAAUCAGAAUUUUAGGGUGUAUAGUGUCAGGAUUGGAUUUGGCUCUUCCCUGAUUGUAACAUUGAAGGUACUUAGCUCUUCCUUUAUUGUGAAGAUGAAAAUGUAAUCCCCUGUCUAUUUUUCGAUUCUAAUCUCUAAAGUGUAAACCCAGUACUUAAAGUAGAUCUAUCCAUUUUAACCACAAAAAGGUAUGAACUAAACACAACCAUUUCAUACAUUGAGUUGGAGGUCUGUGACCAACAUGUGAAAGAGUGGGCAUCCUCUGGAUGAGGAACAUCUGCUGUGAUUGGUAGACAUAAAAUUUAGGGGAGGUGACACAAGAGAAAAAGUUCUUUGAAUAGUGGAAACAGAGAUCACAGGAAUCUAUGAGUCACUCAGAGUUGGAGUGAGCAGUCAGUCACUCAGAGUAGGACUGGAGGAACAGUCACUCAGGCUCAGAGUGAAGACAGUUGGCUGUGGAACUGGACACCUGAAGGAGCUCAUGCAGGAGACCUCAGACUGCUUUCCUUUUAGAGGGUCACUGUGGUGAGUGUAAAGGUUGACUUCCUUCCUUGCCCUUUCUGGAGGAAGUGUGAACCUCUGAGAAAGGCCCAUCAUCUUGAGACUCCUUUCCCCUGACUGAUGCCUUAGAAUUUUCUAACUGGUUCAGAGGAAGCCAGAGCGUUCUCUCUCUUUCUCUCCCCUUUUCUCUCUUCCUUAAUAUAUUCCCUCUAUUGUAAAAAUAAACUGGCAUAAAUUCCAUUUACCUGAGUAAUUCAUUUUGGGAUUUAGAAAUUAAAAUCCCUGGCGACCACAAAUUAAAUAUUCAGUCCAACCAUAAAUUUUAAUAAUAGACACCAAAUUCUCAAAUCACUUUGGAUACAAAGCUCUGGUUUAAAUUAGUUGGAAUUGCAGGCAUCUUGUAGUCAUUUUGAAACUUAUCUACACUUUUGGAAUCCCAUGAAACUUCUGGUUGCAAUUGAAAUUAAAACAGAAAUAUUUUUUGUUAUAUUCCCUGACUUGAUGAGUGAUUGCUUAUAGUGAAAUUAAAUUUUAAAGGUAAUCCAGCUCAAAUCAGAAAGUCACCCUGUGCUGAAGUGUUUCAAAUGGUAAUAGGGUAAUCACUCUCUAAGUACACACACACACACACACACACACACACACACACACACACACACACACACACAUACACAUACACACACUUGAGACACUCAAAUUUAGCAUUAAAAGUUGAUUAAAUGGAUUUUUUUUUCCUGAAUGACUGUUAAAUUCCCUCCAGCCAUGUCCUGAGCAUGGCAUCCUAUUGUUUACCAUUUUCAAAAAGAGAUAAGUUUCCCUCUGUUUUCUGUAUUGCUAUGCUUUAGCCUUUUCCUGGGUGUUAAUUCUGAAAAUUGACUUAGAAGUGACAAGAAAAGAAGGGAAAGGAGAUUGUUAUUAAUUUCUGGGGGGCCUGACUCUGCUUUGAACUGAACCUUAUACUCAUAGCUCUGAUAAAGAAGGUACAUUUGCAUAUAUUGAUAAAUUUUCUAAACCCAUUUUAGGGUCAGCUUUUCAACUGAAAUCGGUUUUUUUCACUGCCUCAAGGUAAUGAAAGCACAUGGAAGAUCUGAUAUUUUAUCAGUGUAGGAAAACUUCUAAUGUGGUUAUUCCCCCCACCACUGUAAAUCACAAACCAUCUAUAAAAUAAUUGACAAAGUGUCAGUUAGCAUGAUGAGGCAUAUAGAAGUUAAAUAAAUAAACUGGUCUCACAUAAUUCAUAAGCAUUGAUGACAGGAUUUGAACCAUUUCUUUUUAUGUCAAAUGUAGCACUUGAUCCCCUACUAUACCAUAUUUCCUUAUCUGAGAUAGUCUAUGUUAUGUAUUUAUUUGAAUCAUAUCUUUUCAGAUACCUUAACUAAACUCAAAGGUUAUAACUACUGAUUUAUACUCCUUUAUUCCAUCCCCACCCCAGGAUCUGGCACAAUUCUUUGCAAAUUGUAAGCAUCUGAAAAAUAUCCAUUGAUAAAUUGCCUUGUAGUUUGCUGAGUUAUCUCAGCAUGAUUACAGGAAAAGGAGAAACUUGAAAAUGUAUUAGUUGGGACAGCUAGGUGGUUCAGCGGAUAGAGAAUCAGACCUCCAGAUCGGAGGUCCCGAGUUCAAAUUUGGAUUCAGACAUUACCUAGCUAUGUGACCCUGGGCAAGUCAGUUACCCUCAGUUACUGAGCCCUCACUGUUCUUCCAACCUGGAUCCAAUUCUAAGACUGAAGGUAAGGGUUUUUUUUUUCUAUUUUUUGUAAAAAACCAACCAAACAAACAACAGCAACUUAUUAAUGGCCCUUUUUUUUCCAGUUAAGCUAUAUAUCCACCUAUGUAGCUGUGUGUCUACCUAAGCUAUGUAUAAAUUAUAAUGUGUGGUUAGUGUAAUAGAUAAUAUUGAGGGGGUAUAUUUGGUACUUGAUAACUAAUGGAUCAGGCAGCUUUCUUGUGUUGCCUACCCUCCUCCCUAUAUUCUUCCCUUCCUCCUUUUCCCUCCCUCUUCUUCAGCCUCUUCAGCUUCCCUCCUCCUUCCUUUUUGGUUUCUCUAAAUCCCUCAGGGUGAUCUAUGAUGUUUCAAAUGAAAAUACUUUCUAUCUUCUUUUAUCUUAAGUAAGGGUUUAUUUGGGGAAGACAGGAAAAGAUGGAGGAUGGAGGUAAGAGGGUUGGGGGUUUCCCUAAUUCUAUAAUUAGCCUUAGAUUGGAGGAUAUUGAGAAAAAUGGUUGAUAGGUCUAGUAUUCCAAUCACUAUCACCAACAGAGCAAGUCAGAGAGAUAUAUGGGCUAUUGUCCUUCUUCUUCUUCUGUCUUCAAAGUCACCAGGCCACCUCCAGCUUGAUUAUCCCAAAUCCCAGAGACAAAACCAGCUUCUUCCUUCCCUGAUUCAAAGGCAACCAGGAAAUCAGUCAGGACCCUGAUUCAAAGGCAACCAGCAUCAGCCAAACCCAGAAAUCCCCCAUUUAGUUUGGCUCCAAACUGCCUUUCCUGGUAACUUUCCAAAUGGAAUCUUCCUUUGAUUGACAGUCAGGUCAGCACUCAGCCACUGCUUCUUGUCUUGCUGCAUGCCUCUCCAAUAUCUCUUCCACAUUAGUUGUAACGUGAUGAUACAAGUAUCAUCAAAAUUAACUAACACCUUCCAAAGUUAUCUUUGAAUAAAACCCAAAAUGUUGAAUGGCUAGAUUAAAAUAUGAAUUCCCCUUAUUUAACAGCUUUUGAUUUGUGUGGUAGAAAGAGAGAUUGUGGAUGAAAGUUGGCUAGAACUUAUUUCCAGUGCUUAUUUGUCCAUAAGAAAAGUCGAGGAAAGGCCUCAACGAGGGUAUGCAUAACCAGGAAAAGUGGACAUUAUUCAUAUAUUGAGAAUAAGGGGUCAAAAACAAAGCUAAAUAGCCUGAGUAUUAUACAGAAAUGUUCAAACCAGAGGCAGACUAUGGGUUAAGUAAUUCUCUAUGGAGGAUUUACUGGAAGAUGUAGACAAGAGUGACCAGAUUAAGAAGCCAGGAAGAGACUAUGUUCAUCGUUAAUGUGGAGAGUUCUCGCCUUGAUAAGACUGAGAAUACGCUGAUCCAACAUAAAGUGUUCACAAAAUAUCAACUCAUUUUCACAGCUUUUGACUAGUGUAAAAAAUUAGGAAAUUUUCAGUUUGUAGAUUCUUCUAUACAAACUUCCACAAAUAUAGUAUGAGGUACAGGAAUUCCCUUUAAACAUCCUUCCUUACACAGGAACGAACUCCUUUGAAUGAAUUCUAGAGGUGGAAAAGAAGGUCUUUGGAGCUAAAACUUUCUCAGCAUGCAGUCUCUGCAUAAGCCACAGAGUGGUGCUAGGAGCACCAAGGCUCCUGGAUCAAGUGUUGGCUAAGAGUGUGAGAAUAGAUCAGCCUGGAUUAUGCAGAGCACCCAGCUGUGUCAUUUCACUUAGUCUAGGGUUGAAAUUACCAAGUGGCAAAGCAUUUCAUUAUUUUAUCAAAAUGUCUUAUUUCUGUCUAUUUCUCUCUCCUACUCAACAGCAACAGCCAGAUGCCAUUAGAAGAGGAGAGCUAGCAAGCAUCCUUCCAGUAUUAGUCACAGGGUGGGAGAAACAACCAUUUUACCCUGUUCAAUCAUCAUCUUGCUCCUGAUAGUAUCAGUUUUUGCUUCAUGGAAUAUCCCUAGGCAAUAUCUCGAGUCUAAUGGUCACUAGAAGGAAGAUUUCAGAGACCACUCGGACAUGACUCCUGUUCUUUCCCUGAACCCUCCACCCUAGUCAUUCAUCCUACACUGCACUCUGAUUGUUUGUGUUGCAACUCAGAUGUGCUUCCUGAGUGUUCUCAUGUUCUCUUCUGGGGUAUUUGCAUUGAGGCACUUGCCUGCCUUUGUUUUUAUAACCUGACCUCUUUGUCAUCUUCACUUAUGUUAACCCUAUGGGCUACAACACAGGAGAUUUUAGAGUAAGUGAACAGGCUUGGAGAGUCAAUUGUUAAAUUUUCAUUGUGAGCAUUUACACCUCAGAAAUAAGCAAAUAUUAUAAGUCAGAACUUGAUUUAUUAUUUUGUUGAUUGUCUAGCAAAGUUGAUGAUGGCAAAAUGUGAAUAAUGCAUAUUAAACAAAAAAGUAUAUCUAUCUACUACAUUUUCCCUCCAGAGAGCCUCGUUAUAUAUACAAUCUUUAUUACAUUCCUGGAUGCAUAAAUCUCAGGUUCUCUGCCACUUUGGUGUUUUCAGGCUGGGAGAAUGCAGGGAAAUGCAAAAGAAAGAAAAUUUGAGACAAAGGGGCACAAAAUUAAAGGAAAACCUAUAAAUGAAGAUUGUAUCUCUGGGACUUGAAAUGAUAGAAGUCUCAGUCCUACAGUGGAACCAACCACUUUGGAAAUAUUUUAUUUCUAAAAGUAAGUGAGAAGAAUUAUUUGAUUCAUUUAAACAAACAUUUACUAACCCUACUGGCUACCAAGCAUUGUUCACAGAAGAUAACAGAAAAUAAAGAAAGCUUCUGCCCCUGAAAAGUCUGGAUUACACAGAAAAUUGUCAGUAAAUGAAUGGUCAUCUAGUUCAACACCUUUAUUUAAGAGAGACAUUGAAGUCCAAUGACAAGACAGAAGUCAAGACGAUUGGUCAUAGCUCAGGAUGCAGAGGUGACUUUGACUUCUUCAAAGAUCUAAGUGAUUCACAGCAUCGGAUUUCUCCUCUUUUGUUGCCAUUGAAACAGAUUGUUCUCAUUCUCCCCUUUCACAAGGAAAAGUCUUCACAUGUCUGGGAUAGAUAGCCCCUCACUCACCAACUGGUUUGAGGUUUAUUGGUUAACCUCAAUGUGUGAGACCACAGGCCAAUAUAGUUAACCAGGCUAUGCACAUUCACAGCUUUUUGGAGAUACAGGUGAGAGCUGGGUGGCAGAUGGCCACCAAAGGAGGAAGGCAUACCUGAAAAUGAAUGGAAGCUCUCACACCAGAUAUAUUAGUGUUCCCUGAACACCAGUGCUCCAGAGUAGCUAGAGAGCUGGGCCAGGAGUCAGGAGGACUUAUCUUACUGAGUUUAAAUCUGGUCUCGGACCCUUAGUAGUUGUGUGAAUGGAUAAGUCAAUUAAGCUUGUUUACUUUAUUUCCCUCUUCUAUAAAGUGAGCUGGAGAAGAAAAUGGUAGACCACUCCAGUAUGUUUCCAAAAAAUCCCAAAUGGGGUUAUAAAGUGUCAGGCAUGAUUGAAAAAUGACUGAAUAAUGUUGCAUAAGAUUUGAACAAGAUUUGAACCCAAGUCCUCUGCCUCUAAAGCCAUUUCUAUUACUUCUAUACUGUGUCAGUCAGAUAAGGUAUUGGUAGAAUACAAGUUCCUUGACAAUAGAGAUUGCUUUGUUUUUGUCAUUGUGUCCUUAAUGUUUAUAAAAAAAAACAAACAAACACUGCUGGCACUUAGCAUGGGGUUAAUAAAUGUUUGUUGAAUUGAGCUGAAUUAAUUUUUAAGAAAGAAGCCUUUUAUUACCCAAAUGGAGAGGGGCUAUUUAACUGGUUAAGGCAGUGAACUUGUAAAAUAAAAUUAUUCUUACAACUUCCUGGCAUGUAUAAUUAAUGACAAGAAGAAAGCUAUCCUUUAAUUUAUUGUAAAUUAUUUUCUUUACAUAAAUAAGCAUUACCAGAUAACAGGCUAAACUAAAAUUGAAUUGGUUAUACAAGAGCUUGAAGCUGAGACCUUAUUGUUUUUACAUCUGUGAUAUGACUGCUUCAUUGGAUUUCCAUCCUAUUUCCCCACCCUGCUAUGAGGCCUGAUUAAAAUGGCAGGGAUUGAAUCUGCAUUUUGCAACUUUUCCUUUGCUUAUAUUGGAGCAGAAUGCUGAGGAAUUAAUUCUAGGAACUAGUGCCAAAAAAAAGAGACUGAGUAUUCUCAUCUACCAAGGGGAAUCAAAGACUAUAUCAUCGAAAUGAACAUUGAAUGUUCAGAUUUAUUGAAUAUUUUUCAUUUUAAAAGUGAAAAAUCUGAUCAAGUCACAGCUGACAAUAUUAAAAUGGAUUGAUAGAGGAGAGUAAAGAAAAUGCAGUGAUUCAGCAAAAAUAAGUUUACACUAUCUCAACAAAAUGUUUUGUAGAGACUUCUUUUGUGGGUCUGCUAAUCCCUCCACCACUUAUAAACUUGGUGCCUAUGAGACAAAGAGGAAUCUUGCUGGGAGAUGGCCUUGUGUAAUGGAGGGAUCUGGAGAAGGAAUAGUGAUGUUGGAGAGAAAGAAGGAAUGGGGUUGAAAGGGUGAAGAGAUCCUUCUUUUCCUUCCUUCCUUUUGGUGGGAGAUAGCCAAAUCCUGUCUCCUUGAAAGGGGAGUAUGUCUCCCCAGAGAAUGUUUUCUGGAAGAUGGAGGACAGGAGAUUAGAGAGGGAAUGCCUUAGUGAGAUGACGAGAUGACCCCUCAGAGGAGCCAAGGGCUCCUGAGGUCCAAUCUAUCCUUGAGAGGCAAGAUGGCUUCUUAUGCCUCUGCUUCCUCCAGGGACAUCAAUUAUCAGUCUCUUUCAGGAUCUUGGGACUAUUCAACUACCAAGGAGAGAUGUCAGUUCCUUGGGUCAGGCAAUCUUGAAUCCCUGAGAUCUAGAAGUCAACCCCCUCGUGGGGAGAGGUGUGACCCUCCCCAAAUCUUCAAUCCCCUUAAUUGUGUUGUUUAGAGACUGGCCAAGAUGUAAAUCUUAAAUAUCAGGUGAUUUAUAGGGAUUUAAGCUGGGAAGGGAUGACAAGGAUAUCAGUAGGAAAGUGGGUAAACAGGGAAGCCCUACAAUUACCCCCUCUAGCAGAUUGGCCCUCCAAAGUCUAGGGGUUCAAGGCUUCUCAGCCUUGAUCUUUCUUUUUUUGACAACUGCCUUUUAGUCCCUACUCUUUAACUAAAACUUGAAUAUAGGAGUUCAGGGACAGGUAAGGGAGAGAGAGACAGAGAGAGAAAUCCUUGGAAGAGAUCUGUGGAUGGCUACCUUCAAAAGUCCCAAUCCACAAUCCCACUGAGAACUUUAGACUGCUGUCACGAGAGUUUGAGUGGAGGUAUUCAGGGGUUCAGAAAGGACAGUAAAUCUCCAAAGAAAUAGGUUUCUCCUUAGCUUCAGGGAUCCCUAAGCCAGAAGUGAGUUGCCAGUUGGAUCUCCAAGCCUCUGUUCCUUCCUUAGAACACUCAGGGUUUUUUUUUUCUUUCCCUUCACCCACUCUUCUUUCAGCAGAUCUCAUCAAGAGAUAAUCUCUUAUCCAUGUAAAAUCUCUCUUAUCAUACACCUGCUAAAAUAAUUUUCCAGUAGUCCUAUUCAGAUAGAAGCUAUCAUUAAAUGCACAUUUUACAUUUUCCUAUUAAUCUACUUGGGUUCUUAAUUAGCCACAGCCUUAAACUCACCCCUUCCCUCCAUCAAAAUCAGCAUUUUAAAAGAGCAUACCAAAUAAUUUUUUAUAUUAAACAUUUAUUAAUACCUUAUUUGGCCUCCAAACCCUUAAGCUCAACAAUUGAUUGAUCAUUUAUUGAGUGCCUACUAUGAAUAAAGAUGUAGCAUUUAAGAUAGACCAUGAUAGAUGGAGUGGAUUUUGACACAUAAAGAUAAUGCAGGAGAGUACUGUAGGGGGAGGAAACAGAAUAAACAAAGGCAUGGAGAAGGGCAAGCAUGGGAUGCAUCCAGGGGACAAUGAAUUGUCUAGUUUGACUGGAGUUUAAGGUAGAUAUAUAAGGUGGAGCAAUGGGAAAAACACCAUUCCUAGACAUAGAGCUGGAAGAGGGAAGAGUCCUUAGAGGCCAUCUCGUCCAACUAUUUUACAGACAAGGAAACUGAAAGCCCUGGAAAUUAAGUGACUUGCUAGAGGUCACUCAAAAAAAAAAAAGAAAGAAAAGAAAAGAAAAGUGGCAGAACUUGAACGUAGUUCAUGUGACUCUACAAGUAAUAUAUUUUAUUUCCCAUAUGUUGGAAGGACAGGUUGUGGAACUUAGGCUUUACUCAGUAAACAGAGGCAGAGGCAGAGAUGAAAUAGAGACAAAGAGGAGAGAAAGAGACAAAGAAAAUGAGAGAUAGAGAGACUGAGAGAAGUGAGAAAAAAGGGAGGAAGAAAGACAAAAAUGGGUGAUGGAGGGAGAAAUAAAAGGAAAGAAACAAGAGGGGAGAAAGGGAGGAAGACAGAGAAAAAAGGGGAAGGAGAGAGAUAUUUAGGUUUGGUUUAAGUUAUUGACAAUUGUAUGCAUGUUAUAAGUAUGACAGUUAUUCAGGUGGGGUUUAGACUGGGUGCUUUCUGAGAGUCAUGUCUCUAAAGUCUGAGACUUGUAUUUUCUUUCCUGUUUAAGAAGAGACAAAGGUAUGAUGGGAUUGGAACUGGAGGCCUGAGUUUUUGCUGCUACAGCAGUUUUUACAUUUCUGUGGAAAGAGAUAUGAAGGGUUGGAUAGGAGGAACUGGAAAGAAAAGAGAUCAGUGGAAGUGACAGUUUAUAGAACAUACUUUCUAGGAGAUUGAAUUCAAACCCUGUAGUGACUGGAAUAUUAGCCUUUCCCUGACUUCCAACUCAGCUUAUUAAGAAAACCCAGGACUAUGUCUACUCAAAGAAGUUGCUGGAUUAAUAUUGAAUGUUUUCUCUCCCUGCUUCUCUUUUGUUUAAUUUUAUUGCUACUUACAUAUGGUCAGCAUUGGUUAUGACUAAGUAUAUCUUUGAUCUUUUCAGCUUGCUUACUGAUGGUUUGUAUUUUAAUUAUUGCUCAAAUAAAGCUAAGAAACAUUUAA